GACGAACCGAGCGAACGUUGUUCGGAAUCACUGGGCUUAAAGGGCGCGUAGGCGGGCUGCCGCGUCCGGGGUGAAAUGCCACGGCUCAACCGUGGAACGGCCUCGGAUACGGGCGGUCUCGAGGGGGGUAGGGGCAUCUGGAACUGUGGGUGGAGCGGUGAAAUGCGUUGAUAUCCACAGGAACUCCGGUGGCGAAGGCGAGGUGCUGGACCCCAUCUGACGCUGAGGCGCGAAAGCCAGGGGAGCAAACGGG
rnacentral:rRNA from 1 species